rnacentral:rRNA from 1 species
GCGUACAAAACCUACCUUUGACUGGGGGAAAGUCGCUGGAAACGGCGAAUAAUCCCGCAUAAGACUACAGUAUCACAUGAUACAGGAGUAAAAGGCCUUCGGUUGGUAGAAGAUGGUUGUGCGUCCCAUUAGCUAGAUGGUAAGGUAACGGCUUACCAUGGCGACGAUGGGUAGGGGGCGUGAGAGCGUGGACCCCCACACGGGUACUGAGACACGGACCCGACUCCUACGGGAGGCAGCAGUAAGGAAUAUUGGUCAAUGGAGGAAACUCUGAACCAGCCAUGCCGCGUGUGUGAUGAA